rnacentral:rRNA from 1 species
UACGUAGGCAGCAAGCGUUGUUCGGAGUUACUGGGCGUAAAGGGUGUGUAGGCGGUUGGAUAAGUGUGGUGUGAAAUCUCCCGGCUCAACUGGGAGGGUGCGCUACAAACUGUCUGACUAGAGUGCGGGAUGGGAAAGUGGAAUUCCCGGUGUAGCGGUGGAAUGCGUAGAGAUCGGGAAGAACAUCAGUGGCGAAGGCGGUCUGCUGGGCCGUUGCUGACGCUG